rnacentral:piRNA from 1 species
UAGACUCCAUCUAGAUAAGUACACCUGCCU